AGGCGGUUGGUUUAAAGAAAAACGUUUGAUUUCGGCUCAGAAGCUUAUGGUUCAACCCCAUAACCACCUA
rnacentral:tRNA from 1 species